GUGUUGACAAGCUAAAGGUUAGAGCGCUGUGGGCUAAACAAAACGCUGAAGAUGGUUGGGGAAACACCACACAGUGUGCUAGUUUCAACCAGGCCACCUUUGCCAUGCAGCUUCACCCCUCCAGCCAUGCUCCAUCAGCCUUACUCCACCGCUCCAUUCCUCUUCCUCACCUGCCAACUCCGGAAUCCAUCCUACCUCCACACCAACAUGCAAUAUUCCGGUGACAAUAGGUGGUAGUGAUGCCCUUUUCGGUGGCAAUUCACCAUGAAGAAGAAGAGUCAAAUGUAUGCAAUUGUCAUUUCCAGUAAGUGCAUCGCGGCUGUGCGCAAUUCACCACCACUAAGUGAGUACAUAGUUUACAGUAUACUACAUGUGAGUGUACUAAAGAUAGUAUCUGA